CCUCUACUGAUAAAACAAGAGGGGAUAUUGAUAAAGCACCUGGGAGAAGACAGCAGUUUUCUUUCUGUUGCUACCCUGCUGCAGCUCUGACUUUAAAUGCAGCAGGUGCACAUGUCAGCAUGGUGUCCUCCCUUUACCCUGAAGGAAACCAUAAAGGAAAUUUAGUGUUUUAAAAAAUGUGUCUGCCUAAGGACUGUUGAGGAAAUACUCUGAUGGCAGCUAGAAAUCAACUAGCUUGCACUCACUCAUCUGUGAAAAUUGAUGAAGAAAAAGGUGAUUUUUGAGGAUAUGUGUUUCUGCCAGGAUGGAUGGGCCACAGUUUCAAAAGGACUUAAAAAACAUAGCAACAACACAUUCCAACACUUCCUUCUGCUUAUGGGAAAGCACCCUGCCCUCCAAACCUAGCGCCUGGAAAAUGCGAAUUUCUCAGCCCACACUGAAGCCUUCUGGAGUAAAGCUAUUUGUGUGCAGUGAGGAGUGCAUCAUGCUUUGGCCAUAACUGGAAUGUGCACAGCUUUGUGAAGUUUCUCAGAAUGACUCAAAGAGUGGAAGCAAAUAAAAAACCACAGAGAUAUUUGUGUCUUCA
rnacentral:lncRNA from 1 species